rnacentral:rRNA from 1 species
AGUGAACGCUGGCGGUAGGCCUAACACAUGCAAGUCGAACGGCAGCACAGUAAGAGCUUGCUCUUACGGGUGGCGAGUGGCGGACGGGUGAGGAAUACAUCGGAAUCUACUUUUUCGUGGGGGAUAACGUAGGGAAACUUACGCUAAUACCGCAUACGACCUACGGGUGAAAGCAGGGGAUCUUCGGACCUUGCGCGAUUGAAUGAGCCGAUGUCGGAUUAGCUAGUUGGCGGGGUAAAGGCCCACCAAGGCGACGAUCCGUAGCUGGUCUGAGAGGAUGAUCAGCCACACUGGAACUGAGACACGGUCCAGACUCCCACGGGAGGCAGCAGUGGGGAAUAUUGGACAAUGGGCGCAAGCCUGAGCCAGCCAUACCGCGUGGGUGAAGAAGGCCUUCGGGUUGUAAAGCCCUUUUGUUGGGAAAGAAAAGCAGCAGGUUAAUACCCCGCUGUUCUGACGGUACCCAAAGAAGAAGCACCGGCUAACUUCGU